rnacentral:tRNA from 1 species
GGUAAAAUGGCUGAGAUAUAGGCAAUAAACUGUAAAUUUAUUUAGGAGGGGAUUUCUCUUUUACCA